CAGCGUUUGGGGGCAGUCAAGGCGCAGGCAUUCCGCUCAGGUGAAUCUCCAUUUCAGAAAGUGGUCCCCACGGCGCCCCCAGCCAGGGCAAGGUUUCGGGCACUGGGAUCCCGGCCGCAGCCGUCCCGUAACGACGCGACUCCGGGCGUCGCCGGCGCCGCACAUGCCUGCACGGUCACAGGCCCCCAAAGGCUGGAGUAGCACCGUCCUUCUCUGGGGCUUUUGCUCAGGACCCACGGGGCAGUCUAGAGGGCCCUCCGGAGACAACGGGUUGGAGGUCGCACGGGCUCACAGGGGCUCUUGUUCAAACGAAAAGAGCGAGAACUAGGGCUCGGGGCCGGUUUGGAGGAGCCUCAGAGGUCUUUUUCGUCCCUAAACGUGCCUUCGGCAGGGUCUGCCCGCGAGCGCCCCCAAGCGGCAGGUCUCAGAGUCCAGGUCGUUGGUGUGAUGCCUUUUCUAACCCUUCUAUCAAGAAUCAGCCAGAGCCACCAAUUUAGAGCACAGAUAUGAUUGUGCCACUCCGUGUUUACAUUCCUCUAAUGGCACCUGUUAACCUCAGGAUGAAAUUUAGACGCUUUAGCAUGGUUUCUGAGGUCCUUUGUCAUCGGACUUUGCGCAUAUAUCCAGCUGCCCACUGCUUCCUCCCGGCUUCAGCCAUCCCGAGUGAUCUCCAUGGGCUCUUCCACUCCGGUCAUACAUAUUCAUCACCACCCACUUAUUCCUUUACGGGAGAAGCCUAUGUCCCUGCCUCAUUGGCCCUGGGCUUGGCCACAUGACAGGGUCGACUAAUAAAUGCGAGUGGAUGAACAGAA